GGAAUUCAGACGCAUGCUCUUCAGCAGAAUAUACUAAGCUUUUGGCCAAGAGAAUAAAGGAGGCCAAGGAAAAACGCCAGGAGCAGAUAGCCAAGAGACGACGACUGUCCUCAUUGAGGGCCUCUACAUCUAAAUCUGAGUCAAGCCAAAAGUAAAAUAUGUAAAUGAUUAAGAAAAUAAAUCUUUUAUGGUGA